rnacentral:rRNA from 1 species
AUAGCGUAUAUUAAAGUUGUUGCAGUUAAAAAGCUCGUAGUUGGAUUUCUGGGAGGGUGCCAAUGUCCGCUUGUUAGCGUGUGCAGCGGCGCCCUUCCAUCCUUCUGUUAACGUUUCUUGGUAUUUGUUUACUGGUUUCGGGCUCAGAUAUUUUACCUUGAGAAAAUUAGAGUGUUUCAGGCAGGCUUGCGCCGGAAUACAUUAGCAUGGAAUAAUAGAAUAGGACUCUGGUCUCCUUUGUUGGUUUGAGGGACUGAAGUAAUGAUUAAUAGGGAUAGUUGGGGGCAUUAGUAUUUAAUUGUCAGAGGUGAAAUUCUCGGAUUUGUUAAAGACUAACUUAUG